rnacentral:rRNA from 1 species
AGUGAACGCUGGCGGUAGGCCUAACACAUGCAAGUCGAACGGCAGCACAGUAAGAGCUUGCUCUUACGGGUGGCGAGUGGCGGACGGGUGAGGAAUACAUCGGAAUCUACUUUUUCGUGGGGGAUAACGUAGGGAAACUUACGCUAAUACCGCAUACGACCUUCGGGUGAAAGCAGGGGAUCUUCGGACCUUGCGCGAUUGAAUGAGUCGAUGUCGGAUUAGCUAGUUGGCGGGGUAAAGGCCCACCAAGGCGACGAUCCGUAGCUGGUCUGAGAGGAUGAUCAGCCACACUGGAACUGAGACACGGUCCAGACUCCUACGGGAGGCAGCAGUGGGGAAUAUUGGACAAUGGGCGCAAGCCUGAUCCAGCCAUACCGCGUGGGUGAAGAAGGCCUUCGGGUUGUAAAGCCCUUUUGUUGGGAAAGAAAAGCAGCAGGUUAAUACCCCGCUGUUCUGACGGUACCCAAAGAAUAGGCACCGGCUAACUUCGUG